rnacentral:rRNA from 1 species
GACGUAGGGCGCGAGCGUUGUCCGGAUUUAUUGGGCGUAAAGAGCUCGUAGGCGGCUUGUCGCGUCGACUGUGAAAACCCGCGGCUCAACUGUGGGCUUGCAGUCGAUACGGGCAGGCUGGAGUUCGGUAGGGGAGACUGGAAUUCCUGGUGUAGCGGUGAAAUGCGCAGAUAUCAGGAAGAACACCCGUGGCGGAAGGCGGCUCUCGUGGGACGGUACUGACGCUGAGACGGCGAAAGCGUGGGGAGCGAACAGG